UCUCCGUUGGUGAACCAGCGGAGGGAUCAUUAGAGAGUCGCAAAACUCCCAAACCCGUGUGAACGUACCUUGCGUUGCCUCGGCAGGCCCCCGCGCCCGCCGAAGGCCCACGAGAACUCUGUUUAGCGAUGUCUUCUGAACGCGUGACUGAAUAAGUUAAAACUUUCAACAACGGAUCUCUUGGUUCUGGCAUCGAUGAAGAACGCAGC
rnacentral:misc_RNA from 1 species